UGCUGCCAGAAGUUAAUCUCCCCUCCAGAUUGGUUCAGGUGUAGCUUAUACCACAAAAGGAUCUGUGCAGGGCAGAGGAAGACAUGGCACCAGGAAACAUUUCUAGCUGACAGAUACGGCGGUAUGGCUUUCCUUCAGUCCAACACCCCAACCUGUCCACCUCUUCAGGACCCUCAGACUCACAGUAAGAGUGACAGGAAGCCAAGAGGGAGCAGAGAGCCACAUUCCAAGGUCGGAAAUGGACACUGGUUCCUUGCCGAAAGGUAACUGCCAUUCGACAUUUCAAAAAUGACGGCUUUCAAGUCUUCGCUCCUGUGUAAAACCUCUACGAUCGUCGAGAUAAAUCCUUGCGUCUCUUCCUAUAUACAUAUCUACACCGAAGUCUUUAGUGGCGACCCCGGGGGUGAGGGGUGGGGCCACGGUCUUUACCCAAUACUGCCCAGAAGGAUUCGGAAUUGUUGGAUUCCGAAGGGAAAGGGUGUUUCGGAGGAGGGGACGGAAGCACCUGAUGGGAAAACGGCAGUGGACGCUGUAGCUGGAUCCUUCUUUUUCCUCCGUCAGAGUUCGACCCAGCAGUGUCUCCUCUAGGAAACAUACCAAAGCAACCACCUCAAAAAUGUCUGCAGUCCUAAAGUGCAAUUGCUGCUGUGCAGUCAUGUCAGACCAGGCAUCAGGCUGGACAAAGUUCAAAGCAGAAACAUCAAACGAGCACAGCUCAUGAUUGGGAAUGGGGGCGGGACAGAGAGAGGGGGCACGAGUAAAAAGGAGUAACAGUUCUGGGGCGGUCAAGUGCAUCGAGAGAAUAAACGUCUUUUCUUCGGGAAGGGAAAACCCGCAAAUGGCCAGGGGGGUCGGAGUUAGCAAAAAUUCAUUUUUGCUGAUUUCUAGCUGAGGAAGUUCCAGUGUGGGAGAGUACAUAGGCAUCCGAUCAAGGGAAGAAAAACGGUGUAGCGAUCCCUCCCGGGAGCUCCGU